AUUUCAACCUGUCCUGCCUCUUUAAUGAUCACAAUAAUCCUUUCGAUCGCAGAUUUCAAGAGACGACGCCAUCAACAAGAUUCGCCUGGAAACCGAGGAGCACCUCAAAGAGAAAUUUCCUCAAGCCGAACCUUUUGAACUCAUUGAGUCCUUCAACACUGUGAGCAGGGACAUCUUUCGGAAUUUAGUGCUCAACGAAUACAGGAGGUGUGACGGCAGGGACUUAACGGCUUUGAGAGACAUCUCCUGCGACGU